UACUACUGACGCUGAGGCUCGAAAGUGCGGGAAUCAAACAGGAUUAGAUACCCUGGUAGUCCGCACCGUAAACGAUGGACACUCGUGGUUGGCCCCUGGUGGUCAGUCACCCAGCGAAAGCGUUAAGUGUCCCACCUGGGGAGUACGCCGGCAACGGUGAAACUCAAAGGAAUUGACGGGGGCCCGCACAAGCGGAGGAACAUGUGGUUUAAUUCGAUGAUACGCGAGGAACCUUACCCGGGCUUGAAUUGCAUGGGGCGUGGUCAGAGACGGCCAUUUCUUCGGACCCAUGUGAAGGUGCUGCAUGGUUGUCGUCAGCUCGUGCCGUGAGGUGUCGGCUUAAGUGCCAUAACGAGCGCAACCCUUCUCUUCGGUUGCCAUCGGGUAAUGCCGGGCACUCCGGAGACACUGCCAUCGCAAGAUGUGAGGAAGGUGGGGAUGACGUCAAAUCAGCACGGCCCUUACGUCCGGGGCUACACACGUGUUACAAUGGGAGGUACAGAAGGCCGCUACCUGGUGACAGGAUGCCAAUCCCGAAAGCCUCUCCCAGUUCGGAUCGGAGUCUGCAACCCGACUCCGUGAAGCUGGAUUCGCUAGUAAU
rnacentral:rRNA from 1 species